AUGGGUACAGUAUUUCGCUGUUACAACCGCUGAUGCACUAUUUGCUGGCACCAAAUAUCUAUUCUACGACACCAACUAAAGCGUUUCGAGGCGUUCAAAGCGGACGACGUAUUUGAGUCGCAAAUUUCAUUAGGAGAACAUAGUUACGGGAAUUUUGGUUUUUAAAAAAUAUUAAUUGAGACAUUUUGAUCUCUUAACUAUUGAUCCAUUAACUGGAAAAACAUGUCAACACCAAUUGGCCCCAUUCCUUGCAGUUUAACCUGCCCCAAUUGUUCAAAGCAGGUCAACUCGCGUCUGGAAUAUCGAGCAUCAUCGAAGACACACAUUAUCGCAUUACUUCUCGCUGGAAUGCUCUGCAUACCUUGCGCUGGCAUGUUAUAUUGUACGCAGUGCGCACGAAAUGUGGAACAUUACUGUCCAACCUGCAAUGCUUUUUUGGGCGUGUAUGAUCGUUAGAAAGUGGCGAUCACUUUCGGUAAAUGGAUGAACGUUAAAAACUAGAACGUGUACAAUAUUUUAACAGAAUAUCAGUCUCUAAAGAAAAAAAGUUAUAUAUUUAACUAUAUGCUUAUAUGGAUGUAUUAAAAAUGCUCAAAUUCGCACACAAAAUAAUUCUGAAAUAACAAUUUUAGCCAGAAAACGAUAAUCGGGCAAGUUUCAUUCGGGACGAAGUCAUUUUUGUCUAGUAUCUAUGAACAUGCCACA